AGAUGUGAGGGAUCUGGCUGCAAUGUCUGUCACUCUAUGAUCACUAGGAUUGAUUCCAUUCAUCUGGUUGACUACAGAUGUCCCUCUCCUUCCUUACCACUCCAUGUGCACCACUCCCAUGCUGCAUGCUUGGUACAAAGAAUAACCUUCCCUGAUAGAGGAGGACACUUUUUUGGUCAAGGAUUUAGGAGUAGCUGUGCUCCCCUGUUAGAACCUCCAAACAUGCUCUUAAAAGUCCAUUUGCAGGAGAAUGUAGGAUAGUAAACUUCCAAGACUCCAGACACAUCCAAAUGAGGUACCACAUGUAGCAAUCUGCCUUUCUUU
rnacentral:snRNA from 2 species